CCAAUAGCGUAUAUUAAAGUUGUUGCAGUUAAAAAGCUCGUAGUUGAAUUUCGGGAUCAGUAGGUCGGUCAUGUCACUGGUAUGAACUGGUCUCACUGGUUCCUCCCUCUUGACGAACUGCAAUGCUAUUAAUUUAGUGUUGUAGGAAAUCGGGACUGUUACUUUGAAAAAAUUAGAGUGUUUAAAGCAGGCUUUGGCUUGAAUACAUUAUCAUGGAAUAAUGAAAUAGGACGUUCGAUCCUAUUUUGUUGGCUUCUAGGAUUGACGUAAUGAUUAAUAGGGACAGUUGGGGGCAUUAGUAUUCAAUUGUCAGAGGUGAAAUUCUUGGAUUUAUUGAAGACUAACUACUGCGAAAGCAUUUGCCAAGGAUGUUUUCAUUAAUCAAGAACGAAAGUUAGGGGAUCGAAGACGAUCAGAUACCGUCGUAGUCUUAACCAUAAACUAUGCCGACUAGGGAUCGGAUGAUGUUAAUUUUUUAAUGACUCAUUCGGCGCCUUACA
rnacentral:misc_RNA from 1 species